rnacentral:rRNA from 1 species
CCUACGGGAGGCUGCAGUGGGGAAUCUUGCGCAAUGCACGAAAGUGUGACGCAGCAACGCCGCGUGCGGGAAGAAGGUCUUCGGAUCGUAAACCGCUUUCAGUUGGGACGAGGGUUGCACGGUGAAUAGCCGGCGUAACUGACGGUACCUUCAGAAGAAGCCCCGGCUAACUACGUGCCAGCAGCCGCGGUAAUACGUAGGGGGCAAGCGUUAUCCGGAAUCAUUGGGCGUAAAGCGCGUGUAGGCGGUUCAGUAAGUCCGCUCUGAAAGCCCAGGGCUCAACCCUGGGAGGCGGGUGGAUACUACUGGACUAGAGUACGGAAGAGGAGAUUGGAAUUCCUGGUGUAGCGGUGAAAUGCGCAGAUAUCAGGAGGAACACCAACAGCGAAGGCAGAUCUCUGGGACGUAACUGACGCUGAGACGCGAAAGCGU